UCACUUCAUCUUUCUCUUCUAUUUACAACAUUGACAUUGUUAUCAAUACAUUUACCACCAUGAACAACCAAUUUCAAGCUCUAAAUGUAUAUAAAAUCAACAUCUACAUCUUCAUGGGUAACAUUAUUUUCUUCAUGUUUCAGACGAUCAACUACAAGAUCAUAUCUGAACUUAUUGGUCUUGGAAUCAAGUACUUAGAAGAUUGAGGAAUCACCCCUACCAAUUGUACUCCUUUAGCUCAUGGAAACCCACUCGUUCAAGUUUUUUUCGUCAAAGGUUAUUCUAUUACUCAAGUUUGAGGUGGUAUAGGUAUCAUAUCGUAAAUGAACAACCAACAAGACUAAGGAGUAUAACAUAUCCUGAAAUCUCAAAAUAUUCUCUUCAGCUCUUGUAUCUCCUCCAACUUUGUCGAAAAAAGCGGCCAUGUCUGGGUUCACCUAAGCAUCGCUAUCAAGUCUUCAAAGUCUGCUCCACAUUGCUGACAUGUCGAAUGUUGCAAUGCUAUCAAUUGUUAUUGUAGGCGUUUCCAACUCCAUAUGCAAUGCGGAUUAUCUCUGACUUUGAUUUUUUAUCCCUGUAAGAUGUGUAUGUCCCAUGUUAUCUAGCCACAUCCAUCCACAUUCACUAAAGAUCGAUGUUGCUACUAGGGUUUGGAUCAAAUCAGUAGU
rnacentral:lncRNA from 1 species